rnacentral:rRNA from 1 species
CCCUUAGAUGUUCUGGGCCGCACGCGCGCUACACUGAUGCAUUCAACGAGCCUAUCCUUGACCGACAGGUCCGGGUAAUCUUUGAAUCUGCAUCGUGACGGGGAUAGAUUAUUGCAAUUAUUAAUCUUCAACGAGGAAUGCCUAGUAGGCGCAAGUCAUCAGCUUGCGUCGAUUACGCCCCUGCCCUUUGUACACACCGCCCGUCGCUCCUACCGAUUGGGUGUGCUGGUGAAAUGUUCGGAUCGGCCGUUUGUCGCGGUUUCCGCGGCUCGUGGCUGAGAAGUUCAUUAAACCCUCCCACCGAGAGGAAGGAGAAGUCGUAACA